GGUGAUUAGCGUUUAUAUUGAUUUGUUGAAGUCUGAUGCCGAAAAGCGAAAUGCUCAAGUGGGAUUUCUCACUGUAGACGCAGCGUACUAUGCAAUAAAUCAUGAGCAGAAGAAGGAAAAAGGUGAGGACACUAGACCGCUCGAGUGUGGUGUCGAAACAUUGUUGAUCGAACCACUGUGGUCGAUCUUCCGUUUCCCAAAGGUCCUAGUUCCCAUUCACCACAGUACAAGCAUGCACUACACUUUGUUGGUAAUCGACAAUGAAAAAAUGUGCUUUACUCAUAUGAAUUCAUUGUGGCCAGCAAUCGAUGAAUUCACCAAUGAGGAGAAGUACCACCCUGAAUGAGGCAAGAGUGGUAAAGCACAUCAAGAAGUUCAUACAUACUGUGAACUUGACAAAGUUUAGAACCCCAGGUGACAGCCAAGAUCCAGAGGUCACUAGGGAAAAAUGCAAAGGCGAAGAUGACAAAGAAAACCUAAUUAAGGAUGAAGAAGAAAUGACCAAGAAGGAAAAAGAAACCAGGAACUGGAUCUUGCAGAACAACAUUGUGGAGACAAACUAUGAACUCUAUGAAGACUUUGAGUGCCCGCAGCAGAACACAUCAUCAUCGUAAGUACCCCAAACCACAUUGUUUGUACCUCAAAACAAACUAUCUGUUUAUUGCCCCCCAAUAAAGUUAACAUGAAUUAUUUUACUUCUUUAUAGUGCUGAUUGCGGACCCUUUAUGCUCCAUUUCAUGGAGAGCAUAGUAAAUGGUGAAGAACCAAGCAAGGAAGGUAGGGACAACAUGAGGAAAAGAAUGCUAGAGAGAAUCAUGCACCUUGAAUUAGGGAGAAAGUGAAGAAC